GUUUGGUACUUUGAUGAUGACUGACUAUGACGUUUAUGUUUGAUCUUUUGAUAUGAUAAGUAUUCUUGAAUCUUAAUUGUGUUUUAAGAAUGUUUUUGCAGGUAUAUUCAAGACUUCAAGACUCCAUGUUUAAGUCAUAGAGUUUGUAUUAGGAAUGUGUGAAAAGUGUAAUUUUUCUUUUAUUAGAUCGAUCAUGCAGGAGAUUGUCGUUUGGUGAUUGCAAUGAUCUUCUUUUUAUGGUUUCUGAGUUGUGUACGAGCAUUAUAAUAUAUUUUGUCACGAAAUCGCCAAAGGGGAAAUUGUUAAGGAUUUUCUAGGUUGGCGGAUUUCGUAAAGUCGAAUGGAGUCUUGAAGAGUUGAUCGCGGUAGUUUGAAGAGAAGAUUCAAUUUGAAGAGCAAAGACUCAUUUGGAAAGCUCAGCACCUCAGGUAUGAAGAAUAGAUCAUUUGUGAUGAAUUUAUCUAAUUACAAUAAGUUCAGAAGACUUAGAUUGCUUUAAAACACUUAAACUGAACUUUUCAGUGUUCUGGGACCGGUCCCAGAGUUGAGAGACCGGUCCCCGAGGG
rnacentral:lncRNA from 1 species